UACGUAGGGGGCAAGCGUUGUCCGGAAUUACUGGGCGUAAAGCGUGCGCAGGCGGUUUUGUAAGCCAGAUGUGAAAUCCCCGGGCUUAACCUGGGAAUGGCAUUUGGGACUGCAAGGCUGGAGUGUGGCAGAGGAGACUGGAAUUCCUGGUGUAGCAGUGAAAUGCGUAGAUAUCAGGAGGAAUACCGAUGGCGAAGGCAGGUCUCUGGGCUGACACUGACGCUCAUGCACGAAAGCGUGGGGAGCAAACAGG
rnacentral:rRNA from 1 species